GAUGAACGCUGGCGGCGUGCCUAAUACAUGCAAGUCGAGCGAACAGACGAGGAGCUUGCUCCUUUGACGUUAGCGGCGGACGGGUGAGUAACACGUGGGUAACCUACCUAUAAGACUGGGAUAACUUCGGGAAACCGGAGCUAAUACCGGAUAAUAUUUCGAACCGCAUGGUUCGAUAGUGAAAGAUGGCUUUGCUAUCACUUAUAGAUGGACCUGCGCCGUAUUAGCUAGUUGGUAAGGUAACGGCUUACCAAGGCAACGAUACGUAGCCGACCUGAGAGGGUGAUCGGCCACACUGGAACUGAGACACGGUCCAGUCUCCUACGGGAGGCAGCAGUAGGGAAUCUUCCGCAAAGGGCGAAAGCCUGACGGAGCAACGCCGCGUGAGUGAUGAAGGGCUUCGGAUCGUAAAACUCUGUUAUUAGGGAAGAACAAACGUGUAAGUAACUGUGCACGUCUUGACGGUACCUAAUCAGAAAGCCACGGCUAACUACGUG
rnacentral:rRNA from 1 species